AAAACUCUAAGCGGUGGAUCACUCGGCUCAUGGGUCGAUGAAGAACGCAGCAAACUGUGCGUCAUCGUGUGAACUGCAGGACACAUGAACAUCGACAUUUUGAACGCAUAUCGCAGUCCAUGCUUUAUGUACUUUAAUUAAUUUUAUAGUGCUGCUUGGACUACAUAUGGUUGAGGGUUGUAAGACUAUGCUAAUUAAGUUGCUUAUAAAUUUUUAUAAGCAUAUGGUAUAUUAUUGGAUAAAUAUAAUAAUUUUUAUUCAUAAUAUUAAAAAAUAAAUGAAAAACAUUAUCUCACAUUUGAAUGUGAAAAACGAAGAGAAAUAUUUUCUUUUUCAAUCAAAUAAUACUGAGAAAUGUCUAGCAUAAAAAAUUGAAAUAUUUUUCAUCUAGAAUUGUCUCUUAUUAAUGAUUCGGAAAUAGAAAAAUCUUGGUUAUGUUAUUAUUCUUCGUUGGUUCGUUAAAAAUGGAUAAAUAAAAACUUUGCAUACAAGAAUUAAUAAAAAUGUUAUAACGAAUUUAAUUAAAUGUUUUAUCAUUAUAUAUAAAGAAUUUAUGGCAAGAUAAAGUUAUAUACAACCUCAACUCAUAUGGACUACCCCCUGAAUUUAAGCAUAUUAAUUAGGGGAGGAAAGAAACUAACAAGGAUUUUCUUAGUAGCGGCGAGCGAAAAAAACAGUUCAGCACUAAGUCACUUUGUCUAUAUGGCAAAUGUGAGAUGCAGUGUAUGAGCGUCAAUAUUCUAGUAUGAGAAAUUAACGAUUUAAGUCCUUCUUAAAUGAGGCCAUUUACCCAUAGAGGGUGCCAGGCCCGUAUAACGUUAAUGAUUACUAGAUGAUGUUUCCAAAGAGUCGUGUUGCUUGAUAGUGCAGCACUAAGUGGGUGGUAAACUCCAUCUAAAACUAAAUAUAACCAUGAGACCGAUAGUAAACAAGUACCGUGAGGGAAAGUUGAAAAGAACUCUGAAUAGAGAGUUAAACAGUACGUGAAACUGCUUAGAGGUUAAGCCCGAUGAACCUGAAUAUCCGUUAUGGAAAAUUCAUCAUUAAAAUUGUAAUAUUUAAAUAAUAUUAUGAGAAUAGUGUGCAUUUUUCCAUAUAAGGACAUUGUAAUCUAUUAGCAUAUACCAAAUUUAUCAUAAAAUAUAACUUAUAGUUUAUUCCAAUUAAAUUGCUUGCAUUUUAACACAGAAUAAAUGUUAUUAAUUUGAUAAAGUGCUGAUAGAUUUAUAUGAUUACAGUGCGUUAAUUUUUCGGAAUUAUAUAAUGCAUAAUUAUCAUUGAUUUUUGUGUUUAUUAUAUGCACUUGUAUGAUUAACAAUGCAAAGAUUCAGGAUACCUUCGGACCCGUCUUGAAACACGGACCAAGGAGUCUAACAUAUGUGCAAUUAUUGGGAUAUAAACCUAAUAGCGUAAUUAACUUGACUAAUAAUGGGAUUAUUUUUUAGCUAUUUAUAGCUAAUUAACACAAUCCCGGGCUUCUAUAUAGUUAUGUAUAAUGUAUAUUUAUAUUAUUUAUGCCUCUAACUGGAACGUACCUUGAGCAUAUAUGCUGUGACCCGAAAGAUGGUGAACUAUACUUGAUCAGGUUGAAGUCAGGGGAAACCCUGAUGGAAGACCGAAAACAGUUCUGACGUGCAAAUCGAUUGUCAGAAUUGAGUAUGGGGCGAAAGACCAAUCGAACCAUCUAGUAGCUGGUUCCUUCCGAAGUUUCCCUCAGGAUAGCUGGUGCAUUUUAAUAUUAUAUAAAAUAAUCUUAUCUGGUAAAGCGAAUGAUUAGAGCCUUAGGUCGAAACGAUCUUAACCUAUUCUCAAACUUUAAAUGGGUAAGAACCUUAACUUUCUUGAUAUGAAGUUCAAGGUUAUGAUAUAAUGUGCCCAGUGGGCCACUUUUGGUAAGCAGAACUGGCGCUGUGGGAUGAACCAAACGUAAUGUUACGGUGCCCAAAUUAACAACUCAUGCAGAUACCAUGAAAGGCGUUGGUUGCUUAAAACAGCAGGACGGUGAUCAUGGAAGUCGAAAUCCGCUAAGGAGUGUGUAACAACUCACCUGCCGAAGCAACUAGCCCUUAAAAUGGAUGGCGCUUAAGUUGUAUACCUAUACAUUACCGCAAAGUAGAUGAUUUAUAUUACUUGUGAUAUAAAUUUUGAAACUUUAGUGAGUAGGAAGGUACAAUGGUAUGCGUAGAAGUGUUUGGCGUAAGCCUGCAUGGAGCUGCCAUUGGUACAGAUCUUGGUGGUAGUAGCAAAUAAUCGAAUGAGACCUUGGAGGACUGAAGUGGAGAAGGGUUUCGUGUGAACAGUGGUUGAUCACGAGUUAGUCGUCCUAAGUUCAAGGCGAAAGCCGAAAAUUUCAAGUAAAACAAAAAUGCCUAACUAUAUAAACAAAGCGAAUUAUAAUACACUUGAAUAAUUUUGAACGAAAGGAAUACGGUUCCAAUUCCGUAACCUGUUGAGUAUCCGUUGUUAUUAAAUAUGGCCUCUGCUCAUCCUGGCAACAGGAACGACCAUAAAGAAGCCGUCGAGAGAUAUCGAAGAGUUUUCUUUUCUGUUUUAUAGCCGUACUACCAUGGAAGUCUUCGCAGAAGAUAUGGUAAUGGGCUAGAAGAGCAUACAUAUACUUUGUGUCGAUAUUUUCUCCUCGGACCUUGAAAAUUUAUGGUGGGACACGCAAACUUCUCAACAGCCGUACCAAUAUCCGCAGCUGGUCUCCAAGGUGAAGAGUCUCUAGUCGAUAGAAUAAUGUAGUAAGGGAAGUCGGCAAAUUAGAUCCGUAACUUCGGGAUAAGGAUUGGCUCUGAAGAUUGAGAUAGUCGGCUUGAUUGGGAAACAAUAACAUGGUUUAUGUGCUCGUUCUGGUAAAUAGAGUUUCUAGCAUUUAUGUUAGUUACUUGUUCCCCGAUAGUUUAGUUACGUACCAAUUGUGAACUUUCUUGCUAAAAUUUUUAAGAAUACUAUUUGUUAAACCAAUUAGUUCUUAUUAAUUAUAACGAUUAUCAAUUAACAAUCAAUUCAGAACUGCACGACUUGGGAAUCCGACUGUCUAAUUAAAACAAAGCAUUGUGAUGGCCCUAGCGGUGUUACACAAUGUGAUUUCUGCCCAGUGCUCUGAAUGUCAAAGUGAAGAAAUUCAAGUAAGCGCGGCGUCAACGCGGGAGUAAACUAUGACUCUCUUAAGGUAAGCCAAAUGCCUCGUCAUCUAAUUAGUACGCGCAUAAUGGAUUAACGACGGACGUUUUUCGUUGCCUCGUGGACAUAUUGCGAAGAACUUUGUUUUCCGUAUUUGAAGUAUACGAAUAAAUAAUUAGUGUUCCGUGAAGUGUGCGCAAAUUUUCGCGAAUUAAAAACAAGCGUUUGGAAGUAAUUGACAAUAAAUUAUUGGAAAUUUUCCACUCCGCACGUGUUGAGCGGCGAGCUUGCGGGUGAGCUUUUCGAAACAGCUAGAGAAAGCUUAUUGGUGGUAGUCACCGCUAAGAUUGUGUCUUGGACAGCUUAGUCACUCUACCAAUAGUGAGCUAUCACCAUAGCAACUAGCCCGUGUCAGCGAGCAUACGAUUGCUGGACUCGUCAAAAGGAGGAGCCACCAUCGGAGCAACGCCGAUGGAGAGCGACAGCAGUGUGAGUGCCUUGAGCGAAGCAGUGCCUCAAAGUGUCAAGACGAGGCAGGCGUAGAGCCAUCUGGCCUCCAAUGAGCUCUGCGCCAACGCAGGCGAAGCUGUUGCCCUGCCUCGAAUGGCAGUGCCAAACCCUUUGGGUGCUGGAGAGACGUUUUCAUCGCUGAGAGGAUGCCCGGCGCUACGUCAAGCGCUUGCCAACGAUGCUGCCCCCCCCGCUGCUGCCCCCGCUGUUGAUCACACUGUUGCCCCUGAUGUUUCCACUGCUGCUAAAAUCGCUCCACCACUGCCACCGCUGCCACCGCUGCCGCCCGUGCUGGCAAGCAGCCAUGAUGCAAGCUGU
rnacentral:rRNA from 1 species